rnacentral:rRNA from 1 species
AGAGGGUGCGAGCGUUAAUCGGAAUUACUGGGCGUAAAGCGUGCGUAGACGGUUAUUUAAGUCGGGUGUGAAAGCCCCGGGCUCAACCUGGGAAUUGCAUUCGAGACUGAAUAGCUAGGGUACGGUAGAGGGAAGUGGAAUUUCCGGUGUAGCGGUGAAAUGCGUAGAUAUCGGAAGGAACAUCAGUGGCGAAAGCGACUUCCUGGACCAGUACCGACGUUCAGGCACGAAAGCGUGGGGAGCAAACAGGAUUAGAUACCCUGGUAGUCCACGCCAUAAACGAUGAGGACUAGACGUUGGAAGGUUAAGCCUUUCAGUGUCGUAGCUAACGCGCUAAGUCCUCCGCCUGGGGAGUACGGCCGCAAGGUUG